AGAGUUUGAUCAUGGCUCAGGAUUAACGCUGGCGGCAUGCCUAAUACAUGCAAGUCGAAUGGGGAGCUUGCUUCCCAUGGCGAACGGGUGAGUAAUACGUAGGUAACCUACCUUUAGGACGAGGAUAACCUUUGGAAACGAAGGAUAAUACUGGAUAGUAUAGAUUUCCGCAUGGAGAUAUAUUUAAAGAUUUAUCACCUAGAGAGGGGCCUGCGGUGCAUUAGCUAGUUGGCGGGAUAAAGCCCACCAAGGCGAUGAUGCAUAGCCGGACUGAGAGGUUGUACGGCCACAAUGGAACUGAGAACGGUCCAUACUCCUACGGGAGGCAGCAGUAGGGAAUUUUCGGCAAUGGGCGGAAGCCUGACCGAGCAAAUGCCGCGUGAAUGAUGAAGUAUUUCGGUAUGUAAAGUUCUUUUAUCUAGGAAGAAAAAACAAAUUGACGGUACUAGAUGAAUAAGCUCCGGCUAACUACGUGCCAGCCGCAGC
rnacentral:rRNA from 1 species